AUGAACGCUGGCGGCGUGCCUAAUACAUGCAAGUCGAGCGAACAGAUGAGGAGCUUGCUCCUCUGACGUUAGCGGCGGACGGGUGAGUAACACGUGGAUAACCUACCUAUAAGACUGGGAUAACUUCGGGAAACCGGAGCUAAUACCGGAUAAUAUAUUGAACCGCAUGGUUCAAUAGUGAAAGACGGUUUUGCUGUCACUUGUAGAUGGAUCCGCGCCGCAUUAGCUAGUUGGUAAGGUAACGGCUUACCAAGGCGACGAUGCGUAGCCGACCUGAGAGGGUGAUCGGCCACACUGGAACUGAGACACGGUCCAGACUCCUACGGGAGGCAGCAGUAGGGAAUCUUCCGCAAUGGGCGAAAGCCUGACGGAGCAACGCCGCGUGAGUGAUGAAGGUCUUCGGAUCGUAAAACUCUGUUAUUAGGGAAGAACAAAUGUGUAAGUAACUAUGCACGUCUUGACGGUACCUAAUCAGAAAGCCACGGCUAACUACGUG
rnacentral:rRNA from 1 species